rnacentral:hammerhead_ribozyme from 1 species
AUCCAGUUGACGAGCCCCAAAUAGGACGAAACCUGCGUACUGGAU